CGAGCCGGCCGCGAGGGGUGUGCGCGUGUGAGGCGGAGCGGGGCUCGCCCCUCGCCGGCGCCCGCCGCCCCGCCGCCCCGCCGGCGAUCGCUCUCGGGCAGUCUCCAGCACCCGGGGCCCCCCACGGCCGGAGGUCCGGGCGGGGGAGGGAGAAAGUGAGACUCGGUGUCAUCACCAUCCAUUGUCAGGACGGGAGGAAAUCGGAAUCCAGCAGAGGCGAGCGGCAGCUGGGCGGUCACAUCUGGGAAUGCAAAGCCGACCUCCCCCUCCUCCUCCGCCACCGCCACCUCCUCCUCCUCUCUCACCCAGGAGCACUUCCGAAACCACUUCGCCUUCAGCCCCUGCCUCGGCUAGAGGGAUUUAUUUAAUGGGGAUGUGUUCAAGGCAAGAGCGAAUUCAGAAGGAUAUCGACGUCGUGAUCCAGAAGUCCAGAGCCGAGAAGGACUGCCUAUUUGCAGAUUUCAGGUACUCAGACUCCACCUUUACUUUCACCUACGUUGGCGGCCCCAAAAGUGUAUCCUAUUCAGUACAUGUAUCUGAAGAUUACCCAGAUAAUACAUAUGUGUCAAGUUCAGAAAAUGAUGAAGAUGUAUUAGUUACUACAGAGCCAAUUCCAGUGAUUUUUCAUAGAAUAUCAACAGAAUUAAGAAAGACAAAUGACAUCAACUGUUGCCUGUCUAUAAAAUCCAAAUUGCAGAAGGAAAAUGGUGAGGAGUCAAGACAAAACAGUACAGUGGAAGAAGAUUCUGAAGGUGAUAAUGAUUCUGAAGAGUUUUAUUAUGGAGGACAGGUGAACUAUGAUGGGGAGCUGCAUAAGCACCCUCAGCUCGAAGCUGAUUUGUCGGCAGUGAGAGAGAUCUAUGGGCCACAUGCAGUUUCUCUCAGGGAAUAUGGAGCCAUUGAUGAUGUAGAUAUUGAUCUGCAUAUUGAUGUUAGCUUUCUUGAUGAGGAAAUUGCUGUGGCUUGGGAAGUGAUACGAACAGAACCUAUAAUUGUCCGACUACACUGUUCACUUACACAGUAUUUGAAUGGCCCAGUGCCCACUGUUGAUGUUUUCCAGAUUUCUACAAAAGAGCGAUUUGGAUUGGGACAUCAGCUGAAAAAAAUCAUGCAGACGUUUGUUACACAGCAGUGGAAACAGAGCAAAGAAAAAUUCAGUUGUCUCCACAAUAAGAAGCUGUCAGAGAAGAAGGUGAAGUCUCCCUUGCAUUUAUUUUCUACCUUGCGCAGGUCGCCAAGUUAUCCACCCCCUGGUUGCGGGAAGAGCAAAUCCAAACUGAAGCCCGAGCAAGAUGGGAUCUCCAAAACGCAUAAGCUACUGCGGAGGACGUGUUCCAGCACGGUCAAGACUGAUGACAUGUGCACCGCCAAGUCGCACAGGACCUUUGGCCGCUCCUUGUCCAGCGACCCCCGGGCGGAGCAGGCGGUGACGACAAUUAAGUCGCACAAACUCUUGAACCGUCCCUGCCCUGCUGCUGUCAAGCAAGAGGACUGCCUGGCUCUAAAGUCGCAUAAACUACUGACUCGAUCUUGUUCUGGAGAUCCGCGAUGUGAGCACACCACCAGCUUGAAGCCCCACAAACUCUUAAGCAGGUCUUACUCCAGCAACCUCAGAGUGGAGGAGUUCUACGGCCUGAAGAAUCCCAAGCUGCUCAGCAAGUCUUACUCCAGUGGCGCCAAGUCAGCCAAAACGGAGCUCUUCAAGGAACCGCACGCAGAGUGCAGGAGGCUCUCUCUUACCUCAGGGCUUAUUGGUAUCUUAACACCGUCUUCCUCUUCAUCUUCCCAGCCUCCUCCAAAUGGUGCCAAAUGCAUUCCAAUACGAGACCGUGGCUUCCUAGUGCAGACAAUUGAGUUUGCUGAACAGCGGAUCCCUGUGUUGAAUGAAUACUGUGUGGUUUGUGAUGAGCCACAUGUGUUUCAAAAUGGCCCCAUGCUUAGGCCUACUGUGUGUGAACGAGAGCUGUGUGUAUUUGCUUUUCAAACCCUGGGAGUAAUGAAUGAAGCUGCUGAUGAAAUAGCAACCGGAGCUCAGGUGGUAGAUCUGCUAGUGUCCAUGUGUAGGUCUGCAUUGGAAUCUCCUAGAAAAGUUGUCAUUUUCGAGCCCUAUCCUUCUGUGGUAGAUCCUAACGAUCCUCAGAUGCUGGCCUUCAAUCCCAGGAAGAAGAACUAUGAUCGAGUCAUGAAAGCACUGGAUAGCAUAACUUCUAUUAGAGAGAUGACACAAGCACCAUAUCUGGAAAUCAAGAAGCAGAUGGAUAAACAAGACCCCCUUGCUCAUCCCCUACUGCAAUGGGUUAUUUCAAGUAAUAGGUCGCAUAUUGUGAAACUGCCAGUUAACAGGCAAUUGAAGUUUAUGCAUACUCCACAUCAAUUCCUUCUUCUCAGCAGUCCACCAGCCAAAGAAUCCAAUUUUAGAGCUGCUAAAAAACUCUUUGGAAGCACCUUUGCAUUUCAUGGCUCCCACAUUGAAAACUGGCACUCCAUCCUGAGGAACGGUCUGGUCGUUGCUUCUAAUACAAGACUACAGCUCCAUGGUGCAAUGUAUGGAAGUGGAAUCUAUCUUAGUCCAAUGUCAAGCAUAUCAUUUGGUUACUCAGGGAUGAACAAGAAGCAGAAGGUGUCAGCCAAGGAUGAGCCGGCUUCCAGCAGUAAAAGCAGCAAUGCGUCCCAGGUGUUGUACAGACAGCUCAAGUGACUGCAGUGAUGAGUGAACCCUAGCCUCACUAGCCAGCGGGAACUCCAUAAAUACUCAGGCCUUCUAAGUCUGCAGAAUUAUUAUAAAUGGUCAUUACUCAUAAAGGAAUAAAACUCACCCUAAAAUGCAAUAACCAAAACGCCCUUAUUCAGUAAAUAUUCAGCAAGUAUUUAUUAAGCUCCUAGUAUAAUGCUAGAGACUUUGCUCAGCAUUGGGACACAGUGAUAAUCAAAAACAGACACAUCUUCUUGGAGCUUAAAUUCUACUGAAUGGAUGUAAAUAAAUUAGAUAUAUAGAUUGAAGGAAUGCUGGAUGGUGGCAAAUAUUAUGGAGAAGAAUGAGGGAAACAGAAUGUUUAAUGCUGUGGGGCGGAAAAUGGAAUCAGAAUGAAUGUUUAAUGGGAUGAUCAGGAAAGGUUACUCUCAGAUUAUUGAGUAAAGACCUAUAGACAGUGAGUACAAGAGAGAAAGAACAUUCCAGGCAGAGAGAAGAGCAAGCACAAAUCCCUUGUUGUUUCAGAGAAAAAAAUAUGCUGUACAAAUUGAAAAUCCAUCUGAUGAAUAAUGUGACUUUAAGAAAAAAAGGGCAUAGUCACAGAAAAAAGGACAGCAAUCCCAAUUCUUGCAAAGCCGUAACUUAAAAUGCAUAGCCUUAUGUGAAGUGAUCACCUCACCUGACUUGCACAAACACGGAGAGAUAU